rnacentral:rRNA from 1 species
AGCGAACGCUGGCGGCAGGCUUAACACAUGCAAGUCGAACGGGCACUUCGGUGCUAGUGGCAGACGGGUGAGUAACGCGUGGGAACGUGCCUUUCGGUUCGGAAUAAUCCAGGGAAACUUGGACUAAUACCGGAUACGCCCUUCGGGGGAAAGAUUUAUCGCCGAAAGAUCGGCCCGCGUCUGAUUAGCUAGUUGGUGAGGUAAAGGCUCAUCAAGGCGACGAUCAGUAGCUGGUCUGAGAGGAUGAUCAGCCACAUUGGGACUGAGACACGGCCCAAACUCCUACGGGAGGCAGCAGUGGGGAAUAUUGGACAAUGGGCGCAAGCCUGAUCCAGCCAUGCCGCGUGAGUGAUGAAGGCCUUAGGGUUGUAAAGCUCUUUUGUCCGGGAAGAUAAUGACUGUACCGGAAGAAUAAGCCCCGGCUAACUUCGUGCCAGCAGCCGCGGUAA